rnacentral:rRNA from 1 species
UAUACUCCUACGGGAGGCAGCAGUAGGGAAUUUUGCGCAAUGGGGGAAACCCUGACGCAGCACGCCGCGUGAUUGAUUAAGGCCUUCGGGGUGUAAAGAUCUGUCAGUGGGGACGAAACUUGACGGUACCCACAGAGGAAGCACCGGCUAACUCCGUGCCAGCAGCCGCGGUAAUAUACGUG